UACGUAGGGGGCAAGCGUUGUCCGGAUUUAUUGGGCGUAAAGAGCGUGUAGGCGGCCUGGAAGGUCCGUUGUGAAAACUCGAGGCUCAACCUCGAGACGCCGAUGGAAACCACCUGGCUAGAGUCCGGAAGAGGAGAGUGGAAUUCUUGGUGUAGCGGUGAAAUGCGCAGAUAUCAGGAAGAACACCCGUGGCUAAGGCGGCUCUCUAGUACGGUACUGACGCUGAGACGCGAAAGCGUGGGGAGCGAACAGG
rnacentral:rRNA from 1 species